rnacentral:tRNA from 3 species
UGCGGAGUAGAGCAGCCUGGUAGCUCGCGAGGCUCAUAAUCUUGAGGUCGUAGGUUCGAAUCCUACCUCCGCUA